AGUGAACGCUGGCGGUAGGCCUAACACAUGCAAGUCGAACGGCAGCACAGUAAGAGCUUGCUCUUACGGGUGGCGAGUGGCGGACGGGUGAGGAAUACAUCGGAAUCUACUUUUUCGUGGGGGAUAACGUAGGGAAACUUACGCUAAUACCGCAUACGACCUACGGGUGAAAGCAGGGGAUCUUCGGACCUUGCGCGAUCGAAUGAGCCGAUGUCGGAUUAGCUAGUUGGCGGGGUAAAGGCCCACCAAGGCGACGAUCCGUAGCUGGUCUGAGAGGAUGGUCAGCCACACUGGAACUGAGACACGGUCCAGACUCCUACGGGAGGCAGCAGUGGGGAAUAUUGGACAAUGGGCGCAAGCCUGAUCCAGCCAUACCGCGUGGGUGAAGAAGGCCUUCGGGUUGUAAAGCCCUUUUGUUGGGAAAGAAAAGCAGCAGGUUAAUACCCCGCUGUUCUGACGGUACCCAAAGAAUAAGCACCGGCUAACUUCGUG
rnacentral:rRNA from 1 species